UACGGGAAAGAUCCGCAAGGAUCGCCCGAGGACGAGCCUGCGGCCCAUCAGCUUGUUGGUGAAGGUAAAGCUCACCAAGGCUAAGACGGGUAGCUGGUCUGAGAGGAUGAUCAGCCACACUGGAACUGAGACACGGUCCAGACUCCGUACGGGAGGCAGCAGGUGGGGAAUAUUGCGCAAUGGACGAAAGUCUGACGCAGCCACGCCGCGUGAGCGAUGAAGGCCUUCGGGUCGUAAAGCUCUGUGGGGAGAGAAGAAUAAAGCCGGUGAAGAGCCGGCCCUGACGGUAUCUCCUUAGCAAGCACCGGCUAACUCCGUG
rnacentral:rRNA from 1 species